rnacentral:rRNA from 1 species
AUGAACGCUGGCGGCGUGCCUAAUACAUGCAAGUCGAGCGAACGGACGAGAAGCUUGCUUCUCUGAUGUUAGCGGCGGACGGGUGAGUAACACGUGGAUAACCUACCUAUAAGACUGGGAUAACUUCGGGAAACCGGAGCUAACACCGGAUAAUAUUUUGAACCGCAUGGUUCAAAAGUGAAAGACGGUCUUGCUGUCACUUAUAGAUGGAUCCGCGCUGCAUUAGCUAGUUGGUAAGGUAACGGCUUACCAAGGCAACGAUGCAUAGCCGACCUGAGAGGGUGAUCGGCCACACUGGAACUGAGACGCGGUCCAGACUCCUACGGGAGGCAGCAGUAGGGAAUCUUCCGCAAUGGGCGAAAGCCUGACGGAGCAACGCCGCGUGAGUGAUGAAGGUCUUCGGAUCGUAAAACUCUGUUAUUAGGGAAGAACAUAUGUGUAAGUAACUGUGCACAUCUUGACGGUACCUAAUCAGAAAGCCACGGCUAACUACGUG